UAAAUUUAAUCUGAAAUGGUAACACAUCUUAAUUCUGACACUUUUGUAGUAAUCUCACAAGUCUCAUCUUUCUUUUGAGACCAAGAU